rnacentral:sRNA from 1 species
CGGGGACCGGAGCGAGGGCGAGAAGCGGGACGGAAGGAGGCGUGGUUUCAGUACAUCGAACCGCCCCGCGCAACCUUGACGUCCAGGGAACCUCCCUCCUUCCAGAGGACAAUUGGUAUUUAGGUUUCGCUGCUCUUCUUCCAACCUCUCGGCAAUAGAAGAGUAACCUAAGAAAGGAACUAUAAAAAGUAUUCACUACAGUAAAUGGAAGAUGAUAGAUGAUGUCCUCAAAAGGUGGAACCAUGAAGGAUCUAAAAGACUUGAGCUACUCUUGUUUGACUUUGAAGGUGAAUGAAGAAAAGAAUUGAAAACUAAAGGACAUUACUGCUCUUCCUGUAAGAGAGAGAAGAAGUGGCAGACUGCUCCUUGAACGGAAACAAAGAUCCGGGUUACUGGAUGUCAGACACACUAUUUGGAAUUGUUGGAGCAGCAGUUGUGUAACCUUCUAGAAAGAACCUCUGUGCCCCAGAAUCCACAGUGGGCGGUCCCAGAAACAGCACAAACAGCAGCAGGUGAAAUGACAAACUAGAGGCCUGAGUGCAUUGAUCUACAUAAUGAAGCAACCGGAACUCAGCUUCCCAGUGACCUGGGACAGGAGGAGUUUUUGAUUUUCUACUCCCCUCAGCUCUUCAAGGCCAGCCAAAAAAAAAAUGGGUGGUAAAUCUGACACUGGGGUUCCUUCCUGUAAUCCCAACUCUGAGCAGACCCAGCUUGCAGAAUUACUGGAAAUUCAGGGCCAGUUUGGGUUACAAAAUCAGACUCAGUCUCAAAUCAAUCGAUCCUUCUUAAAAUCUGAUAAAAUGUGGAUUAUGUGAAAAACAGAGCAACAUAGUGUGUCAUUUAGCCAUUGUUUGAAUUUUAAAGUUUCAGUGUUUUACACAUUUUCUGUCGUAACACGAUAGAUUCUCUUUCAAGUUAUUACAUAACGAUUGCAAGAUUUUCCUCUGGAAAUUACCUCUAAGUUUGCCCUCCAUCCAAUUCUCCUGUCAGUCAUGCUUAAUACCAUCGUUAGGAUUUUCAGAAGGGAGAAGGCAUCGUUAAGAACUUUGAGAGGCCUGCAAGAUGGCUCAGCUGUAAAGACACUGCCACCAACCUGACCCUAGGAUGGAUCCCCAGAACUCACUGGUGGAAGGAGAGGUCAAGUUUCUUUCUGACCUUCACAUGAGUGGUAGUACACAGCCACCCCUCCCUACUAAUAAGUAUAUACAUAUACAUGUGC